rnacentral:rRNA from 1 species
GCUCGUGUCGUGAGAUGUGGGUUAAGUCCCGUAACGAGCGCAACCCUUGUCCUUAGUACCAGCACGUUAUGGUGGGCACUCUAAGGAGACUGCCGGUGACAAACCGGAGGAAGGUGGGGAUGACGUCAAGUCAUCAUGGCCCUUACGGCCUGGGCUACACACGUGCUACAAUGGUCGGUACAAAGGGUUGCCAAGCCGCGAGGUGGAGCUAAUCCCAUAAAACCGAUCGUAGUCCGGAUCGCAGUCUGCAACUCGACUGCGUGAAGUCGGAAUCGCUAGUAAUCGUGAAUCAGAAUGUCACGGUGAAUACGUUCCCGGGCCUU